UACGGAGGGGGCAAACGUUGCUCGGAAUCAUUGGGCGUAAAGCGCACGUAGGCGGCGCGUUAAGUCUGAUGUGAAAGCCCCGGGCUCAACCCGGGAAGUGCAUACGAAACUGGCGCGCUUGAAUAUGGAAGAGGGUCGCGGAAUUCCCGGUGUAGAGGUGAAAUUCGUAGAUAUCGGGAGGAACACCAGUGGCGAAGGCGGCGACCUGGGCCAAUAUUGACGCUGAGGUGCGAAAGCGUGGGGAGCAAACAGG
rnacentral:rRNA from 1 species